UGAGGAAUAUUGGGCAAUGCCCGAAAGGGUGACCCAGCAACGCCGCGUGGAGGAUGAAGGUCGUAAGAUUGUAAACUCCUUUUAGAGGGGAAGAAUAACUAAGUUUGGAGCUUAGUAUGACUGUACCCUCAGAGAAAGCCCCGGCUAACUACGUGCCAGCAGCCGCGGUAAUACGUAGGGGGCAAGCGUUGUUCGGAUUUACUGGGUGUAAAGGGCGCGUAGGCGGAAUGGAAAGUCAGUGGUGAAAUCCUACAGCUUAACUGUAGAACUGCCUUUGAUACUGUCACUCUUGAGUUCGGGAGGGGGAGGCGGAAUUCCAGGUGUAGCGGUGAAAUACGUAGAUAUCUGGAAGAACACCGGUUGCGAAGGCGGUCUCUUGGUCCGACACUGACUCUGAGGCGCGAAAGCGUGGGGAGCAAACA
rnacentral:rRNA from 1 species